UUCCCUUCUGUUUCCUCUCCAUGAGAAAGUUUGCAAUAUGAUGUAGGUUAUGCAUGUGGAAGCAUGUAAAACUUAUUUCUAUAUUAGUCAUGUUGUGAAAGGAAGAGACAAAAACACACAAAAAAUACAGUGAAAAAUAGUAUUCCUUGAAAUGCAUUCAGAAUCCAUCAGUUCUACUCUGGAAGUAGAUAGCAUUUUUUUUUUUUAAGUCCUUUGGAAUUGGCUUGGAUCAUUUAUUGUUUAGAAUAGCUUAAGUCAUUCAUAGUUCAUCAUUGUACAAUAUUGUUACUGUGUACAAUAUUACCAAGGUUCUGCUCAUUUCACUUCACAUCAAUUCAUGUAAGUAUUUACAGGUUUUUCUGAAAUCUUCCUGCUCAUAUGACUACUUUUCCAAAUGCAUUAUCUCUCCUUCCCAACACUCCACAAAUCAGCCUUCCUGUUUGAUCGUUUCCUAUCAAUUCUCAGUCUCCCAAGCUAAAAAUGUUUUCUUUGAUUUCAACUUUUCUCAUGUUCUUUCGAUUCUUCCCUUCUCUUCUAUCUUUUCCUUUUCCAUUCCACUUCCACUAUUAUAUUUUUUAUGUCAUUGUCUCAAUUUUAUAUUUUUCAAACAACUUGCUAACUGGUCUCUCUCUGCUCUUAUCUGUCCUAUGUACUGAUUAGAUUAAACUUCAUAAAACUGCUCCCAUUCUUUCAUUCCCUACUCAAUGCUGUUUUCUGCUACAAUAAUUUUCCUUUAGCUUGACAUUCAAGAUCUGUAUUCUGGCCCAACUCUACUUACCCAGCCUUAGAACCCACCAUUUUGCAAUUCAGUUAUUUGCACUAAACAGAUGAAUCAUCUAUCACUUGACAAAGCCACACACUUUCAUUUUUGCCUCUUCAGAAACAUUCCAUUCCUCUAAGUCUAAAUCCUGUACAUUUAGACUCAACUGUAUUCCUACCUUAUCCAUGAAACUUUCUUUGACCAUUCAAGACUAAAGAGAGUUCUUGUACUCCUUCAUCUAAACUUGCAGCAUUUGUUCUCUGGGCCAUUCACUUGGUACUUUAUCAUCUGGAAUCACUUUAGGAGAGGUUCUUUAUCAAUGUAGUUCAAGUGGAAGCUGAGUGACCACUUGGUAGCCUAGUAGAAAAUAACUUUGGGCAGAUAAAUAAUCUGUGAGGUACUUCCAACUCUC
rnacentral:lncRNA from 1 species